AUAAUCAUGGACCAAAUCAUGACGUACAUUUCACCAAUUUUAAGAUUAAAGGUUGAAUUGUACAUUGAGAAAUUCAAACCAAAUCAUAUAGUUUGGUCUAGAUGAUAUUGAUUUAAGAUUUUUUCAGUUUUUUUGUCAGAUCUAAAACUCAAGUCAACUUCUCAAAACAAGGCAACUUCUCAUUUUUUCAAUUUUUCUGUGUGCAGUACUAGUAGCAAGUCAACUUGUAAGAUUUCCAUACAGAUGUGAAUUGCAUCACACAUUAACGUGUAUUUUAACGAUUAAUAAACUUGUAAUGCGAUGAUUCUGACAAUAGAAUUGAUCAAUUCUAUAUAUUUUAAUUAUUGAUGAGCUUAGAGUUCUCAGAUCUUAGAUCUGCAUUUUUUUAACUUCUAGUGAAGAAGUGAAGCUAAAUCAGAAGAGAAAGCAGAGUUACAAGCAGGGAGGUUCUUGCAUUGCAUGAAUAAAAUGAGAAUGAAAGUAAUCCAGAUUUAUUCCCCAUGAUGCUUUCAUUUCUUAUAUUUGGUAAAGACACAAGUUUUUAAAUUUUGAAUGUGAAUUUACUACCUGUAUUUUAAUGCAGAUUUUGAUUUACUACUUGGCAUGUAAGUUUGUAUCCUGGAUCUGUUGUUAGGUUUUGUUCAUCACUCUAUCACCUACAUGGGAGGCCAAUCAGAGAAUUGUUAGAGACUUGCCUUAUAUCUCUUUUCUAAGACACACAAGCUUAAUUGAUAUAAUCUAGAAACCUCUGCAAGUUUGCAACUAUUGCCAAUUGAUUUUGGGUUAAAUGCCUCCAAAAUUCAACUCAAGCCUUAAAACAUAAGCAUAACAACUGACCACUCAGUUGAUAUUGAUAUUUUCAGCUCAUGGAAUUUAUGAUAUAUUGUAUCAUUUGCUUUCAGCUUAUGAUGCUCAUAGAUUAUGGUGGCUCGAUUUUUCCAAUCAUUGCUCAUUUCCCAUGGAAUGGUGUACACUUGGCAGACUUUGUGAUGCCUUUCUUCCUUUUCAUUGCUGGGGUUUCUCUUGCACUUGGAUAUAAGAUAAUGAUUAUUGAGGAAGUCAAUCAUUCAGCAAUAAGACUCCCCUUUUUUUUAAUGUCAGAGAGUUUCAGACAGAGUAGAUGCUACACAGAAAGCAUGGCUUAGGGCGUUGAAGCUUUUUUUCCUUGGUGUUUUUCUUCAAGGUAAUAUUGUGCACAACUUUCAACUUACGUCCUAUAAUACAUAAAUGUAUCUAAUUGGGCAGGGCAAAACACUUCGGGCAACUAUAUAUAGACUUCCAACAAUCUGUGAUGGAUGGCAAGUUUAUUGUGGAAGACUUUUUCAUUCUGUAUGUUAAGUAAGUCAAUCACUCAAUUCCACUUUAACUACAGAAGAAGAAUUCUUGUAGUUAACAUUCCUGGACCCUUUGUGGCCCUCAGCAACUGUUUUUUAUUUCUAGUGGUCAAUACUGCAUUUGACAUUAUGUUUUAUUUAGAACAUUCAUUUACCAUGAAUGAUGGGAGUAUAAUUGCUGCAAAUGUUAAAAAUAAUAAGCUUAUUAUCUACAUCCAUUUUGGUCAUUGCUGUCACAACUCACCAAGCUAAUGGUCCAGUUUUCCAUUUUUUGCAUUGUAGGUUGUUGCUCUCUCUCUCUCUCUUCAAAAUUUUUUUAAAUCCCAUUUGUGCAGCAGCCACAAUAUUUGUUCCUUCCCAUUCUCAUUGACUGCAUGCUUUGGUUCUUACCAUGAGAUGUUGUAGUGUUAUAACUGGUUUGGCUGCUGUCCGUGGGUCACAGCCAGUUUUUGAUCCGAGCAUAAUUCUAGGGAUACAGUGAAUUGCCAUGUUAAGGUGAUCAUUGCAAAGCCCAUGGGUGGGAAUGAGCAUGGUAUUCAUCUUUUUAGUUAAUCUCUGUUAAUUUCUAUUCAAAUAACUUCAAGCUUGUGAUCUUGAGAACAGUUCUGUAUAUUUGUUAAGUUUCUGAUAUUUGGCUUUAAGUUUAUAAUAAAACUUUGCUAUUAUAAUCUAUUCUAUUAUUAAAAGCCAACACCAAUUUUGGUGUCAUGAAGCCCAACUUUUAUCUCCAGCUUUUGUCACCUGUAAUUAGAUAAUAAAAAUAAAUAAAUAAAUAAAUAUAUCCACAUCCACCCCACCCCACCCCACCCAACCCAC